rnacentral:rRNA from 1 species
AUGACAAAAGAUCUCGGCGGCCUUGGGAUCCGAAACCUUCGGCUGCUCAACAUAGCCUUGCAUGCUAGAUUGUCGUGGUUGCAGCCCACGGUGGCUGAGAAGCCAUGGGGAGAGUUCAAAAUCCAGGUGCCUGCAGAAUCUCUCACGAUCUUCAAUGCCGCCACUAUAUCCAUCAUUGGGGACGGUAGACCUGCGCUCUUCUGGAGUGAUUGGUGGCUACUAGCAGGCCGCAUCUACGAUAUCGCACCAUGCUUAUUCACCUAAAUUCAGGCUAGGGUAGCUCAAUCCCGCAUGGUGAGACAAGGGCUACGAGGAGACUGGUGGAGGGAUGUUAGAUCUCAGUGCAGAUACACUUUGGGAGUUUCUUCAAAUGACGGACUGGAGGGCCGUCAUUCCGCUUGA